AUGGCUCAGGACGAACGCUGGCGGCGUGCCUAAUACAUGCAAGUCGAACGCGUCUUGGUCAAUGAUUUUAGGUGCUUGCACUUGACUGAUUUGACAUUGAGACGAGUGGCGAACUGGUGAGUAACACGUGGGUAACCUGCCCUUGAAGUAGAGGAUAACACUUGGAAACAGGUGCUAAUACUGCAUAACAACGAAAACCGCCUGGUUUUCGUUUGAAAGAUGGCUUCGGCUAUCGCUUUAGGAUGGACCCGCGGCGUAUUAGCUAGUUGGUGAGGUAACGGCUCACCAAGGCAAUGAUACGUAGCCGACCUGAGAGGGUAAUCGGCCACAUUGGGACUGAGACACGGCCCAAACUCCUACGGGAGGCAGCAGUAGGGAAUCUUCCACAAUGGACGAAAGUCUGAUGGAGCAACGCCGCGUGAGUGAUGAAGGGUUUCGGCUCGUAAAACUCUGUUGUUGGAGAAGAACGGGUGUCAGAGUAACUGUUGACAUCGUGACGGUAUCCAACCAGAAAGCCACGGCUAACUACGUGCCAGCAGCCGCGGUAAUACGUAGGUGGCAAGCGUUGUCCGGAUUUAUUGGGCGUAAAGCGAGCGCAGGCGGUUUUUUAGGUCUGAUGUGAAAGCCUUCGGCUUAACCGGAGAAGUGCAUCGGAAACCGGGAGACUUGAGUGCAGAAGAGGACAGUGGAACUCCAUGUGUAGCGGUGAAAUGCGUAGAUAUAUGGAAGAACACCAGUGGCGAAGGCGGCUGUCUGGUCUGCAACUGACGCUGAGGCUCGAAGAGCAUGGGUAGCGAACAGGAUUAGAUACCC
rnacentral:rRNA from 1 species